rnacentral:rRNA from 1 species
CCUACGGGAUGCAGCAGUGAGGAAUAUUGGUCAAUGGACGAGAGUCUGAACCAGCCAAGUAGCGUGAAGGAUGACUGCCCUAUGGGUUGUAAACUUCUUUUAUAUGGGAAUAAAAUGUUCCACGUGUGGGAUUUUGUAUGUACCAUAUGAAUAAGGAUCGGCUAACUCCGUGCCAGCAGCCGCGGUAAUACGGAGGAUCCGAGAGUUAUCCGGAUUUACGGGGUUUAAAGGGAGCGUAGGUGGAUUGUUAAGUCAGUUGUGAAAGUUUGCGGCUCAACCGUAAAACUGCAGUUGAAACUGGCAGUCGUGAGUACAGUAGAGGUGGGCGGAAUUCGUGGUGUAGCGGUGAAAUGCUUAGAGAUCACGAAGAACUCCGAUUGCGAAGGCAGUUCACUGGACUGCAACUGACACUGAGGCUCGAAAGUGUGGGUAUCAAACAGGAGUAGAUACCCUGGUAGUC